UCUAAGAGAGAACGUGGGUGGAGUUUCGGAAAGCCUGGUCGCUGUAGUGUACGGCGCCGGCGAGUAAGAAAUAGCCGUUCCACUCCACAAACCGCUCGAUCGGCUUCGGCUGGUCGGGUGAGUCCGUCCCGAAUCUCCACUUGAAGUUCGCGAAUUCUUCCCAAGCAGUCGGGAGCUGGUCUCCUGAUUCCUGUAUCCAAUUGGCCUCGAUUAUAUCUGAGUAGGAUGGGGCAGAUCGGCAACGGUCUGUCCCAUUCGAAUCAGCGGCAGGUUGGGCUUCAGGGGCCCUACCGGUUGCUGACGCAAUCGAAAUCUUUGACAACUGAAUAUUUGACGGGCAUACAAAACACAAGUUUUGCAUGUUAGUAAUAAAGCGCAAAUUAGAAAAGUAGCGUUCAUGUUGGCCGGAUAACCGGGGGCGCAGGCUCUCGGCGGUAGCGGUCAAAUCGGCAAGAAGUUUUGCCGAGUGUGCGAAGUAGAUUUUAUGGUCAAGCUACUAAGGGCGUGUGUGUGGAUGCCUUGGCGCAAGUAGGCGAUGAAGGACGCGAUCAGCUGCGAUAAGCUUCGGGAAGCCGCUAAUAGGCUGUGAUCCGGAGAUUU
rnacentral:misc_RNA from 1 species